AAUCUCUUUAGAAUAAAUGGGCCAAUAUACCAAAAUGAACAUAUUGGAGGGGGGGACAUAUUGGAGCGGAGGAGGGGGGGAACAUAUUGGAGCGGAGGAGGGGGGGUGACAUAUUGGAGCGGAGGAGGGGGGGUGACAUAUUGGAGCGGAGGAGGGGGGGACAUAUUGGAGCGGAGGAGGGGGGGGACAUAUUGGAGCGGAGGAGGGGGGGACAUAUUGGAGCGGAGGAGGGGGGGAACAUAUUGGAGCGGAGGGGGGGAACAUAUUGGAGCGGAGGGGGGAACAUAUUGGAGCGGAGGGGGGGAACAUAUUGGAGCGGAGGGGGGGGGGGACAUAUUGGAGCGGAGGGGGGGGGACAUAUUGGAGCGGAGGGGGGGACAUAUUGGAGCGGAGGGGGGGGGGGACAUAUUGGAGCGGAGGGGGGGGAACAUAUUGGAGCGGAGGGGGGGGGGACAUAUUGGAGCGGAGGGGGGGGAACAUAUUGGAGCGGAGGGGGGGAACAUAUUGGAGCGGAGGGGGGGGGGGGGACAUAUUGGAGCGGAGGGGGGGGGACAUAUUGGAGCGGAGGGGGGACAUAUUGGAGCGGAGGGGGGGACAUAUUGGAGCGGAGGGGGGGACAUAUUGGAGGGGGGAACAUAUUGGAGCGGAGGGGGGGACAUAUUGGAGCGGAGGGGGGGACAUAUUGGAGCAGAGGGGGGGACAUAUUGGAGCGGAGGGGGGGGACAUAUUGGAGCGGAGGGGGGGGACAUAUUGGAGGGGGAGGGGGGGACAUAUUGGAGCGGAGGGGGGGACAUAUUGGAGGGGGGGGGAACAUAUUGGAGCGGAGGGGGGGACAUAUUGGAGGGGGGCACAUAUUGGAGCGGAGGGGGGGACAUAUUGGAGCGGAGGGGGGACAUAUUGGAGGGGGGAACAUAUUGGAGCGGAGGGGGGGGACAUAUUGGAGCGGAGGGGGGGGGGACAUAUUGGAGCGGAGGGGGGGGGACAUAUUUGGAGCGGAGGGGGGGACAUAUUGGAGCGGAGGGGGGGACAUAUUGGAGCGGAGGGGGGGGACAUAUUGGAGCGGAGGGGGGGAACAUAUUGGAGUGGAGGGGGGGACAUAUUGGAGGAGGGGGGGACAUAUUUGGGAGGGGAGGGGGGGACAUAUUGGAGCGGAGGGGGGGACAUAUUGGUGCGGAGGGGGGGGGGACAUAUUGGAGCGGAGGGGGGGGCCAUAUUGGAGCGGAGGGGGGGGACAUAUUGGAGCGGAGGGGGGGGACAUAUUGGAGCGGAGGGGGGGACAUAUUGGAGCGGAGGGGGGGACAUAUUGGAGCGGAGGGGGGAACAUAUUGGUGCGGAGGGGGGGGGGGGACAUAUUGGAGCGGGAGG
ensembl:lncRNA